UACAGAGGGGGCAAGCGUUGUUCGGAAUUACUGGGCGUAAAGGGCGCGUAGGCGGCCUUCUAAGUCGAACGUGAAAUCCCCGGGCUCAACCCGGGAACUGCGUCCGAUACUGGAAGGCUUGAAUCCGGGAGAGGGAUGCGGAAUUCCAGGUGUAGCGGUGAGAUGCGUAGAUAUCUGGAGGAACACCGGUGGCGAAGGCGGCAUCCUGGACCGGCAUUGACGCUGAGGCGCGAGAGCGUGGGGAGCAAACCGG
rnacentral:rRNA from 1 species